UCCCAAAAGAGGGGUGAAGGCACCAGUGGCGGCAAAGAAGAAGACCGAUAAGGUUGUGAACCCUUUUUUUUGAAAAGCGUCCAAAAUAGUUUGGUAUUGGUGGUGCAUUUCCUCCAAAAAGGAUUUGCAUAGGUUCGUGAAAUGGCCAAAAGUUGUCCGCAUUCAACGCCAAAGGAGGAUUUUAAGCAACGUUCAAAGGUUCCACAUGCUUUGAACCAGUUCACAAAGACCAUAGAUAAAAACCUUGGAAAACGACAAAGUUGGAGGAUGAUUUAUAUAGUUUGGUUACAUAUUACUUGGAAUGCUUGUUGGACCUGCAACUGCUGGAAGAGGAGAAUCAUAUUUGUUGAACAAAAGAGAAGAUCGGACGAUGGUGGAUGCUUGCCUUACAGAAUGUGCUCACUACCAAGACCUUGUUCAGGUGCAUAACUCAUAAGUGUUGCAGAUUUGAAAGACAAUCGGCACGCAAGACAAGGCAAAGACUGUUAUCUCAUGCGUGUUUGAUGCCAAUGCUGGAAUUACUUGAAAUGAUAAAUUUGUCUAUGCUCGCGUUGAAUGCUCACAAAGUGUUGGCUCUGAAUUGUGCUUGGUUAAAUAAAACAAUUUUUUUGUUGCAAGUAUCAUAAUGAAUAGACCUUUGUGCUUGUAUUUCCACAAUGUAUGUAUGAGUGUUGAAAUGUGUGUCGCAGCCUGUGUUUCAGGAUAAAUUGUGUUGCAGGCCUGUAAACUGGAAGCCCAGGUCCGUUAUAAUGGAUCUGGACUAUCCAUUUUUUU